ensembl:lncRNA
CUUCCCACUUCAACUGUAUUUAUUUAAUCAUAGCAGAUUAUACAUUUUUACUGUAUAUUGAAUUUGAAUUGGGUUAUGGCUAUACUUGUUAUUUUACCAUUUAUGCAUUAACCUUUAUAUAUGUUUAAAUAAGUGAUGUCAUAUUUAGUUAUUUCAGGGGGAAUUGUGCAUGUGUAGACGCAUAAACUGAAUUAAUAUAAUUACUUAAAAUAUUUUGAAUGUCAAUAGGUUUGUUUAGUGUCUCUUGCACAAUGGUAGGCCUGGUUUAAUGAGUUUUGCUGAAUAGUCAAAAGAGUAGACCUGGUUUAUCAGAGUAUUGUUGAGGGGAUUGCCUGAUACCUGGUUUGUAUGGAUAUUUGGGCUGAGAUAUGCAGGUGUAGAUCUGCUUUAUAUUAGUAUUGGGAGUCAGUCAAAGGUGUAGACCUGUUUUUUAGGAGUACUGGAGCUGAGGUGCAGGCGUAGAACUGUUUUUUAGGAGUACUGGAGCUGAGGUGCAGGCAUAGAACUGUUUUUUUAAGAGUACUGGAGCUGAGGUGCAGGCGUAUAACUGUUUUUUAGGAGUACUGGAGCUGAGGUGCAGGCGUAUAACUAUUUUUUAGGAGUACUGGAGCUGAGGUGCAGGCGUAGAACUAUUUUUUAGGAGUACUGGAGCUGAGGUGCAGGCGUAGAACUGUUUUUUAGGAGUACUGGAGCUGAGGUGCAGGCAUA